rnacentral:rRNA from 1 species
UACGUAGGGGGCAAGCGUUGUCCGGAAUCAUUGGGCGUAAAGCGCGCGUAGGCGGCUCAGUAAGUCCGCUCUGAAAGCUUGGGGCUUAACCCCAAGAGGCGGGCGGAUACUGCUGGGCUCGAGUCCGGAAGAGGCGAGUGGAAUUCCUGGUGUAGCGGUGAAAUGCGCAGAUAUCAGGAGGAACACCGAUGGCGAAGGCAGCUCGCUGGGACGGUACUGACGCUGAGGCGCGAAAGCGUGGGGGAGCAAACAGG